AUGUUUUUAUCUUCAGACAUUUUCUAUGUCACCUUUCGUGUCCUUCACUAACAUGACCUGGACCAUCUUCCAUCAGAAGGCAGGGUCCCUACCCUGUCCUCUUGAAACUGAGAGUGUUCAGCCUAGAGAGAUUUGACCCAGGGUAGCCAAAAUGAUAAUAAAAGAGUUUAAAAAAGGAAUUUGACCUCAGUCUAAGAAAUAUAGACUCCUGGAGUUCAAAUCAGAAAAAGGUGUUUUGUAAACAGGAGCUUCUGCUACAGAUUUCCUGAAACAGCAAGCCCCCCUCCCACUGUGCACCUUGAUUUUGUUUAUAAGAAUUCAAUUAACACAUAUUAGAAGAUCAGCAUGUCAGGGCCCCUCAGGAAGUGCCAGGAGGUGUGUGAA
rnacentral:lncRNA from 1 species